GAUUGAGUUGAGUUGAGUUAAUAUCUUAAGUCACAUCGGCUGUAUUUAAGCCAUAUCGCGACUAUAUCAAAAUAUUUUAUUGUCAGGGGCGGUGGGGUAGCCUAGUGG